AGACCCGAAACCCGGUGAUCUAGCCAUGGGCAGGUUGAAGGUUGGGUAACACUAACUGGAGGACCGAACCGACUAAUGUUGAAAAAUUAGCGGAUGACCUGUGGCUGGGGGUGAAAGGCCAAUCAAACCGGGAGAUAGCUGGUUCUCCCCGAAAGCUAUUUAGGUAGCGCCUCGUGAAUUCAUCUCCGGGGGUAGAGCACUGUUUCGGCUAGGGGGCCAUCCCGGCUUACCAACCCGAUGCAAACUGCGAAUACCGGAGAAUGUUAUCACGGGAGACACACGGCGGGUGCUAACGUCCGUCGUGAAGAGGGAAACAACCCAGACCGCCAGCUAAGGUCCCAAAGUCAUGGUUAAGUGGGAAACGAUGUGGGAAGGCCCAGACAGCCAGGAUGUUGGCUUAGAAGCAGCCAUCAUUUAAAGAAAGCGUAAUAGCUCACUGGUCGAGUCGGCCUGCGCGGAAGAUGUAACGGGGCUAAACCAUG
rnacentral:rRNA from 121 species